CUGUGUGCUGCGGGGGGGGCACUAGGGGGCGCUCUCCCCUCUGUCGGUGCUGACCCCGGUGCCCCUGCGUGGCCCUUGGGGCACUGUGCUGCCAGAGAUGCCAUUCUCAGGGGAGACAUUGUAGCCCUGACUCUCACCCUGAUUCUUCAGGCCCCAUGUGCUGUCCCGUUAGCCCUGGCAUCCUGGCCCAGUCGGCCCCCACGUCCCCUCAGGACUGUGCUGGGGCUACUGCCCUGAGCUGCUUGUUGCGCUAGGCUGUUAGCCAACUGCCGGGGGCCACCCCAGAGGAGGCUGCACACUGGUGCUGGGAGGGAUCCUUUGGCCUGGGAGGGCUCGCAAGACGGGGGCUGGUGUGACUCCCCUCACUCUUUUGCAGAGGAGCCGUCGGCCGCGUGCCAACGCUACACCGAGGUGCGGAACAUUACCAAGGGGCGCUGCACCCUGCCCGGCGUGGAGGUGAGCUACUGCAGCGGGCGCUGUGCCUCCCGCACCAACGUCAUCUCCGAGGAGCCGUACCUGCAGACACUGUGUGACUGCUGCAGCUACCACCUGGACCCCGUGAGCCCCGUGCGCAUCCUGAGCCUGCCGUGCGAGGACGGGGAGGUGGAGCCAGUGGUGCUGCCCGUCAUCCACAGCUGUGACUGCAGCCCCUGCCAGGGUGGGGACUUUCCCGAGCGCUGAUGACCUGUGGCCCGGGCGGGACAGGGUCUGUGCCGGCGGCUGAGGCGUGGCAAAGACAGUGAGAUCGCAGCAUGCGUCCCAGCUGCAGGUCCCCCAGGGCCCCCCACGC